GACGAACUCUGGCGGCGUGCUUAACACAUGCAAGUCGAACGGAAAGGCCCUGCUUUUGUGGGGUGCUCGAGUGGCGAACGGGUGAGUAACACGUGAGUAACCUGCCCUUGACUUUGGGAUAACUUCAGGAAACUGGGGCUAAUACCGGAUAGAAGCUCCUGCUGCAUGGUGGGGGUUGGAAAGUUUCGGCGGUUGGGGAUGGACUCGCGGCUUAUCAGCUUGUUGGUGGGGUAGUGGCUUACCAAGGCUUUGACGGGUAGCCGGCCUGAGAGGGUGACCGGCCACAUUGGGACUGAGAUACGGCCCAGACUCCUACGGGAGGCAGCAGUGGGGAAUAUUGCACAAUGGGCGGAAGCCUGAUGCAGCAACGCCGCGUGCGGGAUGACGGCCUUCGGGUUGUAAACCGCUUUCGCCUGUGACGAAGCGUGAGUGACGGUAAUGGGUAAAGAAGCACCGGCUAACUACGUGCCAGCAGCCGCGGUGAUACGUAGGGUGCGAGCGUUGUCCGGAUUUAUUGGGCGUAAAGGGCUCGUAGGUGGUUGAUCGCGUCGGAAGUGUAGUCUUGGGGCUUAACCCUGAGCGUGCUUUCGAUACGGGUUGACUUGAGGAAGGUAGGGGAGAAUGGAAUUCCUGGUGGAGCGGUGGAAUGCGCAGAUAUCAGGAGGAACACCAGUGGCGAAGGCGGUUCUCUGGGCCUUUCCUGACGCUGAGGAGCGAAAGCGUGGGGAGCGAACAGGCUUAGAUACCCUGGUAGUCCACGCUGUAAACGGUGGGUACUAGGUGUGGGGUCCAUUCCACGGGUUCCGUGCCGUAGCUAACGCUUUAAGUACCCCGCCUGGGGAGUACGGCCGCAAGGCUAAAACUCAAAGGAAUUGACGGGGCCCCGCACAAGCGGCGGAGCAUGCGGAUUAAUUCGAUGCAACGCGUAGAACCUUACCUGGGUUUGACAUGGAUCGGGAGUGCUCAGAGAUGGGUGUGCCUCUUUUGGGGUCGGUUCACAGGUGGUGCAUGCCUGUCGUCAGCUCGUGUCGUGAGAUGUUGGGUUAAGUCCCGCAACGAGCGCAACCCUUGUUCACUGUUGCCAGCACGUUAUGGUGGGGACUCAGUGGAGACCGCCGGGGUCAACUCGGAGGAAGGUGGGGAUGACGUCAAGUCAUCAUGCCCCUUAUGUCCAGGGCUUCACGCAUGCUACAAUGGCUGGUACAGAGAGUGGCGAGCCUGUGAGGGUGAGCGAAUCUCGGAAAGCCGGUCUCAGUUCGGAUUGGGGUCUGCAACUCGACCUCAUGAAGUCGGAGUCGCUAGUAAUCGCAAAUCAGCAACGCUGCGGUGAAUACGUUCCCGGGGCU
rnacentral:rRNA from 1 species